ensembl:lncRNA
GAGACCUGGUAUCAGCAUCUCCCCAAACUGGAUACCCCACUGCAAGCUGGGCACCGUGAGCAAGGACUAACCUGCGAUAAGCGCCACGCUCCCUCCGCUAUCUUGAGCAGCUGGUAGCGGAUUCAUUUCCCUCCCAAGCACAGGGCUCGCUUCUGGUAGCUCUAAUGAGGAGGAAGGCAAAUCCAACCUGGUGGCUGCAGGAGGCGUUGCGGGGGGAGCUCCCCUUGGGUGCCCACCCGAUGCUGCCCCUGCUCGUACCCUCCUGCGCUGCCCCUCGCACACGGUGGAUCAGCGACCCCAGCACUCCAUGCGGGCAGCAGAGCCUCUGGACACAGAAGGGCACAAAAAGCUGUCCCCAUCCUGCCCUGCCCCUGCCCUCGGGGCUCCCUUGCCUGCACAGGACGUCUCAGGAGCCAAAUCCAGGAGCCUGCUGGUGGAGGUGCAAUGAUCCAAGCUGUACCAGAAGCCUCACCUUUGACUUGACACAUGCUGGCCACCCGAGGCUUCCCACCACCUGCUGAAAACGCAUGCUUUUCCCCAUUUUCAGGGGACCGGGGGACUUCUCCCACCUGUUGCUCUUCCCCCAUUUUCCAGGCUUGCGGCUGUUUGAGUGGUAGCGGUCUGGAGCCUUUCCCCAGAGACACAUUAACUGCCUUGAGCCCUGCCCCAGAACAGGGUGAAAUGAGCUCUGCUUUUUUAACAGAACUUCAAUUUUUCCCCCACCUGUAUAAUACAUUCUGCUAAAUUUAUAGUUUUUCAAUCCCUUUGAUGUAAGGCUCUCAGAACACUUCCCGGCUAAUCUUACACAGCGGUGCCUGAAGUGCUGAAGGCACUGGCUGGAAAUGUGGCAGGGAACCAGAAAACAAUUAUCGGCAUUUUGGAGGGUGGGGCAGCAUUAAGAGAGAGCUAAUUUUAAAAUGAAUUAUGCCAUUAAAAUAUUUUUGUUCCCUUUGUCUGCUUUUUCAGCCACAAAAUCAUCAGAAGAGAAGCAGCGCUGGCACGUCCAGGUGAGCUGUCCCCGGGGUGGGGAGAGCUGCCCGUGGGACAGCUGCAGGGGGAGCUUUGGUGCUCCUGCCAGGGACACAUAAAAAGUGGCUUCUGGUGGUGACAAAGCAGGGAAACAACUGCUCAUGGUGCUCCGAUAUUUUUAAAUGAGGCAUUUGAUGGGAUGUGGAUUGUGCCUUUGCGGCCAUCUGCAGGCAGCAGCGUGGUCCUCAGCCCACGCUGGAGCCCAAUCCAAACCCUUCGUGAUGCGAGAUGCCAGCAUCCCUGGGGCCGACUUCAUAAUCCUGCCAGAGCUACUUUCUGCAUUCUCAGAGGACUUCCCCCAGCACAGUUUGAUUGGUACAAAUUCAAACUCUGCCUUAAAAGUUUCUAAUUUUGUGCAAUUUUCUCUUUGUGCUUUCCUUUGUGGUUUGGAACCUUUCAAUUUUGUCUUCUCUGAAAUGCCCAUGAAAUGACCACUCUCGCACACAAAGCCCAAGCACUGUCGAGAGCUUUGGAGGCAAAGUUUCCUUUAUU